ACUCAAAUGAAUAGACGGGGGCCCGCACAAGCGGCGGAGCAUGUGCCUUAAUUCGAGGCAACGCGAAGAACCUUACCUGGGUUGAACUACGCCGGAAAAGCCACAGAGAUGUGGUGUCCUUCGGGGUCGGCGAUAGGUGGUGCAUGGCUGUCGUCAGCUCGUGUCGUGAGAUGUUGGGUUAAGUCCCGCAACGAGCGCAACCCUUAUCCUAUGUUGCCAGCGCGUUAUGGCGGGGACUCGUAGGAGACUGCCGGGGUCAACUCGGAGGAAGGUGGGGACGAGGUCAAGUCAUCAUGCCCCUUAUGUCCAGGGCUGGACACAUGCUACAAUGGCCGGUACAGAGGGCUGCUAUUCCGCGAGGAUGAGCGAAUCCCAAAAAGCCGGUCUCAGUUCGGAUUGGAGUCUGCAACUCGACUCCAUGAAGUCGGAGUCGCUAGUAAUCCCGGAUCAGCAACGCCGGGGUGAAUACGUUCCCGGGCCUUGUACACACCGCCCGU
rnacentral:rRNA from 1 species